UGUCCUUCUUGCUUUCCUUCUAUCCUUUCCCUCUAUCCAGUCCCGUGCUUUCCUUCUAUCCUUUCCCUCUAUCCUGUCUUGCUUUGCUUUCCUUCUAUCCUUUCCCUCUAUCCAGUCCCGUGCUUUCCUUCUAUCCUUUCCCUCUAUCCUGUCCUGUGCUUUUCUUCUAUCCUUUCCCUCUAUCCUAUCCUUCUAUCCUUUCUUCCUACCAUUCCCUCUAUCCUCCUAUGCUUUCCUUCUAUCCUUUCGUCUGUCUUUUCUUCUAUGCUUUCCUUCUGUGGAUCUCUGCCAUGGAAAAGCUGAUUGCCUGAUAUAGUACAUAGCCAAAUAUUCAAUGUUUAUUGAAAUAGAUUAUAGCGAGACAAAACACACUGAUUGUUGAUGUUUUAAAUUGAAAGAAGUGUCCUGUAAUGACACAUUUUACUAUAUGAUAUAGCCUUUCAUAGCCAAAAUCAUUGGAUUCUGGAACACAAAGUUGUUGGUGAAUGGAUUUGAAAUAAAAAUGUUAAUGG